UGGCGGACGGGUGAGUAAUGUCUGGGAAACUGCCUGAUGGAGGGGGAUAACUACUGGAAACGGUAGCUAAUACCGCAUAACGUCGCAAGACCAAAGAGGGGGACCUUCGGGCCUCUUGCCAUCAGAUGUGCCCAGAUGGGAUUAGCUAGUAGGUGGGGUAACGGCUCACCUAGGCGACGAUCCCUAGCUGGUCUGAGAGGAUGACCAGCCACACUGGAACUGAGACACGGUCCAGACUCCUACGGGAGGCAGCAGUGGGGAAUAUUGCACAAUGGGCGCAAGCCUGAUGCAGCCAUGCCGCGUGUAUGAAGAAGGCCUUCGUGUUGCCCCCGCACUUUCAGCGGGGAGGAAGGGAGUAAAGUUAAUACCUUUGCUCAUUGACGUUACCCGCAGAAGAAGCACCGGCUAACUCCGUGCCAGCAGCCGCGGUAAUACGGAGGGUGCAAGCGUUAAUCGGAAUUACUGGGCGUAAAGCGCACGCAGGCGGUUUGUUAAGUCAGAUGUGAAAUCCCCGGGCUCAACCUGGGAACUGCAUCUGAUACUGGCAAGCUUGAGUCUCGUAGAGGGGGGUAGAAUUCCAGGUGUAGCGGUGAAAUGCGUAGAGAUCUGGAGGAAUACCGGUGGCGAAGGCGGCCCCCUGGACGAAGACUGACGCUCAGGUGCGUAAGCGGGGUCCAAACAGGAUUAGAUACCCUGGUAGUCCACGCCGUAAACGCUUCAACUUGGAGGUUGUGCCCUUGAGGCGUGGCUUCCGGAGUUAACGCGUUAAGUCGACC
rnacentral:rRNA from 1 species